CGAGGAGGAAGCGCUCCUGGCAUGGCCGCUGCCCGGUUCCCCGCCCCCCAUGCUGGGCUCCCUCACCGAGCCCUGCCGCCUCCAUCCCUCGGCUCCGUGCGGGGCAGGUGCGGCGGGACACACCCGCCUUAGGUACAACGCCCAGAGCACGCUCAAAUCCCAAUCUCCCAAUCUUCCCAAUUCCGGAGGAAGGCAGCACAGUGUCGGAGUGUCCUGAGCAAAGGACAGACUGCAAAGCAGUGAAGGAGCCAGCAUGUCAGUCCAGUCACUGACUGCCAAACUCUCCUUCCAGAAGGAUGACUGUGUUGAUCUCCUGAAGGAAGAACUUCAACCACUUGUAGUAGAAGAGUAUGGCCUGAAGGGAUCAAAAUAAGCUACAGCAGCUAGUUCUGCAGCCAGAGCAGAAGGGAACUGAGCAGCAUGCUCUGUUUGCUGGGGAACCCACAAGCACAACUGUGGGAAGGUGGUAGAGCCUCAGAGACUGCAGAGCUGCAGGAAGCAGUGGAGAGGAGGAGCACCCUUCCCAUUCCUGCCCAGCUAGUGACUAGUCUGCUUUCUAGACAGCUGACAAGGUAAGAGGAAAUAAUUCUGUAGUAAGAGCUCUGGGACACAUGCCAGCUUGCCUCUAGACAGAAGGUUAAAGGUUAUUUAUGUGAUUAACACAGAAUCUAAUUUAGGCCACUUCAUGUUCACAGGGCAGUUUAAGGAGUGCCAGGACUGACUUGAAAACUGAUGUGGCAUUCAUUAAAUGAAAAAAACCCAAGUGCCAAUUUUACUUGAAACAGAAUUGGAUUAUAGCAAACAUUCCAGAAAACAGUAAGACAAUCAAGGGUAUCAGUAUACUUAGUAAUCUAUAAAAUUAACAUUAUUACAAGUUACUUCUAAAGUUUUAGUGUUGAAUUUGUUUUGGUUUUUUAGCUUUUGAAAGAUGUGUUUUUUCCUAUGGACUUUACCUAUUGUUUAUUCAAGUGCUCUAGUCUAAGUUAGCCUUUCUCUCUUUCUCCUCACAUCCCACUCUCUGAACACUUCCUUGAUGAGAUACGCACAAGAAAAAGAUGCAGGUGCCUUCACCUCAAAACCUUUGGCUUGGAUUUACAGGACAAGAGCUUCAAAAAGCAUGAAAUAUAAAAGGGCCUAAACCCAGCACCACUGCAUUGGUCCUGUGAUAAAAGCUGAAUAGUGUAGUAUAAAGCACAUACAAAAUAAGAAAGGAAUGAGGAUUUUGUACUCUGUGGGUAGUUUGACUCUUCUUAGAAAGACUUUCUUCCAAAGAUUUAAAAAAAAAAUUAAUAAGAGCAGCUUAUUCUCAUCUGCAAAGUCAGGGCAAAAUCAGUCCAAGUAACAACUAUGUUCAUCAUCACUGCCUUUUUUUGAGGAGAUAUAAGCAGAAAGGGUUGGAAUUGCUUUAGCCUGGUGUUGACUUCCAUUUUGUCCUCAUUUAAAGCACUGUUGUAUUCUGGGGUAGUUCAGACAAGAGAAGGCGACAGUUGCAUAAAGGGAAUUUUAUUUUUAGUUGAAGGCAGUGGCAGAUGGUUCCUUCAGCGCCGCCGUCGGGCUGAAGAUCUGGUGAUGGGAGUUGUUUUGGUGGGGGUUUCUUCCUCUCUUAAUUCUGCCAAUAGCUCUAAAGAGAGUAAAACGUGUCAAUAAUGAGCACUCCACUGCCUUGAGCAGAGAAAUCUACAGGCAACCUCCACAGUGGUCUGAAGCCCAUGACCAAAGGGACAUCCCCGUUGGGCCAAAUCUGUAGUCCUUCCCCCUUUAGAGCGCACGUGUGCAGUGCCUUACCAUCCUCAGAGUUGUUCUCCUCGUCGCUGGAGAAGGUAACGAUGGCUUUUUUGCGAGGAGGGCGCUUUUGGGCACGCUUAUGAUUUCGGAGGAUGCGUGAUGGGGGUGUGACAAAAGCAUUAUCUGAGUUGGCUGGGCUUAGGGGCUGGCGGCGUGAACCUGUCAAGAAAAAGGGAAAAAAAUUAGAGAAAGGCAGCAAACUUCUGUCUGUAAGGGUGAGGAGAGGUCCUUAGGUGUUUCUGCUGGACUGCAGGAUCAGGGGAAGGCUGGAAUCUCACAAAAAGGAACAUACUUCCUAUUGGUUUCUGCUUGGCUGGCGCUGGCAUUGGAGUCUGACUACCAUCCUGGCAUGUCUCUGUGGAAUCCAGUCCUCGGUUAUGGGAGGCAGACAGCUUCUGCUCCAGAUCUUCAGCUAGAGCCUGAUGGAGAUGUAAAACAGCAGUGCAGGGACAAAAAAAAGAGAAGAUGAGGGGAGAGAAGUAUUACAUUUACAGCAGAAUUACCAUCAAGUUAAAUAAAUUGAUAAAUUGUUAGGGGUGAGGAAUAGUCUGCUUAAAACGAAAAACUGCAAGACUUUCCAGUCCCUGUAUGUAAAAAGGAAUUGUUUUUAUGGCCUGGACCCUUGUCCUACACUCUUACUUUCGUCUCAGGUUUGACGCCUGCUCUGCGGAAUCGAGCCAGCACAGUUUGGAAGCAAUUGUAGACAGCUGGAUGUUGGAGCUUGUCUGCAAAGCAGUCGUAGUUGUCCUGCAGCUUGUGAAGGCCCCGUUCUGAGACUGGAAGCAGAGCAAGGCAGUAGGACAGAUCCUGAUACUGACGCUCAGUACUGGGAAAGAAAAAGAUCACCGUUAGCUCCUACAAAAAGGGGUGUGUGAGGAUGAGCACAUCUCACCCAGAACUACCAGCAUUUCCUGCAUGUGCUUCUGCCCUGGAGAACAUGAGAUUCAGGUUGUUCUGUUACAGGUCAGUGACAGGGUGCUGUGCCAUACCACAGAUAACCACCACUGUAUUCCAUGACACUGACUUAGUGCCUGUUAGAAAAACAUGAAGGCUCCACUGCUAAAGAACACAGUCACUUGUUUGAAAAGUGUCAGAAGUUAUUGCUGACCAGGAGGAAAAGACUCAGCAAGGUCAGGACUCUUCUUGAAGGGCCUUAUUUCAACCACAUAACAAACCCUGUUCAUUUUUGCAUGUUUUAGAUGAUCUCAAGCAGAAGUUGUAUUUGAUGUUCUCUCUCCCUUUCCUGGUUAGUUACAUAAAGAAGGUCAUAUUCAUUAAGUUAUAAAGCCAACAAAUAACAAAUGCUCUAUCAGAGAAUGAUAACAUUCAAAUUCCAGCAAAAGUCUGGAAUAAAACCAAAGGGAAAGAAAAAAACAAAAGCACAAAGUAACAUCCCUAAUGUUGAUCACUGUGAUGGAAUGGAAAGGGAAAAAGCAAGACAAAGCCCCUAUUUUUGAUAUAUACUAAGUGAGGCCUCAAGUCUGUCCAGCACAUGCUGUCUCAGGAUGCUCUGCUCAAACCCAGAUGGAGAACAAAGCUGCAGCAUCCAGGUGUUUCCACCUGUACAGUCUGAAUGACACCUGGCAAGUUCCUAUGUUUAGAACUCCAGAAAUGCUGAGGAGGGUGAUGGUGGCUGCAAAUCUUCUCUGAUAAGCUCCUGUUUUAGCCUGGAGUGAGGGUCUUGCUCUAGCAGUACCACUAGUGUGCACCAAGCUGAUCAUCUUCGUGGUACAGAAACAUCAGGACAUUCUACUAAAGGCGAGACACAACAUACACACAGACAGUUAAUUACAAAUGUGGCGCGAAGAGCUCACCACUGCUCCUGGGAGGCAACUUUGGAGAGAAGGACCACGCUCCCUCCACUCAUGCUCAGGAAACAAAAUCCAAAUAUUUUGGGAAAUAUGCAACUCCCUGAGGCAGCUGAGCAGGUCACAUGCUCAGGCACUGCACAAAUGGCCAAGAUAAGCAGACAGCUUAAAUCUCAAGGGCAAAGCCACAACAAUGGAGAAGGAAAACCACAGGAAUGGAGGGAAGCAGGGUACACCAAAGCUAGUGGAAGUUAAAAUGAAGAUAUCUCACUGGAAUGGAAGGAGAUAAAUUUCUAUUAUUAUUCUUCUUGGAAGGAAACAAAAAGUGUAUGCCUGGGACAGUGAAGUUACAGCGUGGAGAGCAGGAAAAAAGCAGCAAAAAAGCCCCAAAACCCAGAAAGCAAAAUGAUAUCCCAGAUUCACAGCGUGGGUCCUGCACUCUAUACUCUGUAAUCAGCAAUGCACAAGCAAGGUAUGCACAUCUUGGAGAUGGAGCAGAGCAAAAGCCAAAGUGUAUGGUGGCACAAGCCCUUAGGUAAAAUAAUAAUAAUAAAAAACCAGAACAGAGUCCCAGGCAUAGACUUGGUACUGAGCAGCCCAUGCACACAGAACAAGGACAGGCCUAUAUCAGCUUGAUCGUUGAGAUCCCCCCAGACAGGACUGCUGGAAAGAUCUCAACUUCUCAGCUGAACACACUGAUUUCCUAGCUGAGCUGCAAGGGAACAGCCCAUGGAGAAGGAUCACAAAGGUAUGUAAAAUCCUCAUCUGGGAUGUCUCCUUGCUCACCUAUAAUGCAAAUCUAGACUGUCACAAAACUUUUUCCUUAAAAAAGGAAGGAAGAGGGGAAUCACUGCAUAAUAAAACAAAAAACCUUAAUUUACAAGUAUUCAUGUAUUUUUUAGGAGAAGAUAGUUUAAAAAGAAAGGGGGACCUAAACCAAUUUAUGUUGCAUUUGUCAUGUGAAGAAUAUAAUGGGAACCUUUUACAACCACCACAUACAAGCUCAUAUCUUCUGAAAAAUCCUGAGAAGCAGAAACACUUGUCAGGAAAAUUAAGACUACAACCCACCUGGCAGUCCGGAAUCUCUGACAAAGUUUCUCCACCAAGCUCUCUGUUUGUUUGUCUUUUGUAAUAUAUGAGAACAGAUGUCUGCAAGGGGGAAAAAAAGCACAAAAGAUUAGAGCCCACAGAGGAAUCUCAUUUUAGGUAAGAGGGGUGCUGAAAAGGGAGCAGUGCUGACUUCUUAUCUGCUCCUUCCAUCCAGUUUUAAGAGAUUGCAGCACCUCCAGACAAUGUCCUCACUUCACAAGUUGCACUGACAGACUAGUUUGUCUGACAAGCAAACCUUGAGGGGAGCACUGUGGCAUGCAGUUUUCCCUCCUCAAAACCAUGCUUGUGACUUUUUCACUAUUAGUUUGCUGAAAGUGUGUUGUUGUAUUUUGGAUCAAUACAAAAGUGAGCAGUACUUUGCACUAAAAGGGGGACAAAGUCUAACAGAACUUAAAUGCUAACUUAAUCCAUUAGCUUCUGGAGGAAUAGAGACACCUGGACUUUAGCACAGUUAAGAGCUGGUGCAUUUUGCACUAUGUCCUCUUAGAAAUCACUGAAUAACUUCUAUUUAUUAAGAAGGUCCUGCUGCUCUCCCCAUUUCUUGUACCAACAUUUCUGCUAACUUCAACUCAGUCAGGUUGCCACUGGCCUUGAUAUAGUUGUUCUAAAGCACUUCCUUGUUCAGUGUUUGUUAUGUCUACAACCACCACACCAAGCUGCUUUUCUCAGAUAAAUAACAGAGACAGCAUUCUCAAGAGUCCUCCCUUUGCAUUUUUUCCAGCAUCAAUUAAUCUUUAACUACUAAUUCCCUUCUUUUCCUAUAUAAAGGAUAUCUGGUGUGUUAACUGAUGAUCAAGUCUUUAAAAUUAAUUAUCCUGAUGCUAGUUUGAUGCCUGUCUACAUUGUUAAAUCAAUAUUGCCUCUUCUCAUAUUUGCCAGACACCUCCAGUUCUCUCCAUGUAUGUUGCUGGUAGUAAAAAGUCCAUCUUACACCUGUCUUAACACCACCAAUUACACUUCAGUGCAAUUGCUACAAUUAUGCUGUAUGUCUGUUGUAACACCUUCAGUUUGAUAUUAAUUAAAAACAGUAUUGAAAAUUCCAAAA